CCCUGCCAUUUGUACACACCGCCCGUCGCACCUACCGAUUGAAUGGUCCGGUGAAGUCUCUGGACUGGCCUCCACCUUGUGUGAGGGCUGGGAAGUUGACUAAACCUUACCAUUUAGAGGAAGGUGAAGUCGUAACAAGGUUUCCGUAGG
rnacentral:rRNA from 1 species